UUGCGGUUAAAAAGCUCGUAGUUGGAUCUCGGCAAGUAGAGGGCGGUAUGCUUCGUAGCAUUACUGCCCUAUUACUUGUAGUUUUGCCAGAGGUUCCUGGGUGCUCUUAAUCGAGUGUCUAGGGAUGCUGGCAGGUUUACUUUGAAAAAAUUAGAGUGCUCAAAGCAGGCUAUUACGCUUGAAUAUUCGUGCAUGGAAUAAUAGAAUAGGAAGUUGUUUCUAUUUUGUUGGUUUUCGGAAAUCGACUUAAUGAUUAAUAGGGACAGUCGGGGGCAUUUGUAUUCAAACGACAGAGGUGAAAUUCUUGGACCGUUUGAAGACAAACUACUGCGAAAGCAUUUGCCAAGAAUGUUUUCAUUAAUCAAGAACGAAAGUUAGAGGUUCGAAGGCGAUUAGAUACCGCCCUAGUUCUAACCAUAAACGAUGCCAGCUAGCGAUCUGAGGACGUUUUUUUUGUAGACUCCUCAGGAAGCUUCCGGGAAACCAAAGCGUGUGGGUUCCGGGGGAAGUAUGGUUGCAAAGCUGAAACUUAAAGGAAUUGACGGAAGGGCACCACCAGGAGUGGAGCCUGCGGCCUUAAU
rnacentral:rRNA from 1 species